rnacentral:rRNA from 1 species
UGGGGAAUAUUGGACAAUGGAGGAAACUCUGAUCCAGCAAUUCUGUGUGUGUGAAGAAGGUUUUAGGACUGUAAAACACUUUUAGUAGGGAAGAAAAAAAUGACGGUACCUACAGAAGAAGCAACGGCUAAAUACGUGCCAGCAGCCGCGGUAAUACGUAUGUUGCGAGCGUUAUCCGGAAUUAUUGGGCUUAAAGGGCAUCUAGGCGGUAAGACAAGUUGAAGGUGAAAACCUGUGGCUCAACCAUAGGCUUGCCUACAAAACUGUUGAACUAGAGUACUGGAAAGGUGGGUGGAACUACACGAGUAGGGGUGAAAUUCGUAGAUAUGUGUAGGAAUGCCGAUGAUGAAGAUAACUCACGGGACAGAAACUGACGCUGAAGUGCGAAAGCUAGGGGAGCAAACAGG